rnacentral:rRNA from 1 species
GACAGCAGCAGCCGCGGUAAUACGAAGGGUGCAAGCGUUACUCGGAAUUACUGGGCGUAAAGCGUGCGUAGGUGGUGGUUUAAGUCCGUUGUGAAAGCCCUGGGCUCAACCUGGGAAUUGCAGUGGAUACUGGGUCACUAGAGUGUGGUAGAGGAUAGUGGAAUUUCCGGUGUAGCAGUGAAAUGCGUAGAGAUCGGAAGGAACAUCUGUGGCGAAGGCGACUAUCUGGGCCAACACUGACACUGAGGCACGAAAGCGUGGGGAGCAAACAGGAUUAGAUACCCCAGUAGUCCCUGUCUCUUAUAC